rnacentral:lncRNA from 1 species
CCGGCUCCCCGCCGCCACGGCCCGGGCCCGGCGCUCCCCGCCCCGCGCUCCGCCCACGGGGCCGCACGCUCACCUGCGGCCGCCGCCGCCGCCCCCCGCCGCGCCCCGGAGGUGCUGAGGAAAGAGGAGUGGCGGUGGCGGUGCCUGGCUCUGUCCCCGUCCCUAGCCCCGGCCCCGGUCCCGGCCCCCUCCGUCCCGUCGCACCGGGGAUGCCCCAGCCCUCGCGGUCUCCUCCAGCACAGCGCCCCUUGGCCAAAGGCCCUGGUGUCGUGCCGGUGCCGCGGGCACUGGGACACGGCUGAGGCGAGGAGGUGAUUUUAUUUUAUUUAUUUUGGGCCGAGACGUGGAGCUACGCCUGGGGCUGAGGAGCUGGAGCUUGGCUGCAGAGUGCUUGGUGUGUGCCUCUACCCUGUGGGGAGCGGCGUUCAAGCUUCCCCACUGCCUCGCCACACCACUUCCUCUUCCAGGCUCUUAUUUAAAAUAAUUUUUGGUGGUUUCAUAAGCUGUGAAUGUCGUUUUAAUGACAGGGCUAAAGCUGGGUAGGCCCUAGGUCUGUGAGCUCUGGCAUUGCCUCAGCACCUUUACCGUGGGGUGCCGUAGGCCGCAGGCCCUCGCAGGCCACGGGUGUCCUGGCCCAGCCGUCCUUGGACUCAUGCUCUGAGGGAUGGAGCUCAUGAGUGUUAAAGUGAGGUGGUUUGGGGUUGGGUUACAGCACAGGAGCAUGACAAACAUAAAUAGGAGAGAAAAUGCUGCCUUCCUCCUCAAGGAACCAAAGCAGACCUUUGUCAUCGUUUUCUAGCUCAUAUGGGUAAACGUAUUACUAAUUUGGGUGUCAUUACUCUUGCAUUUUCAUCUUAAAUGAGCUCGUUCUGAUCUAGCUGAAAACCGUGAUGAAACUCCCAACGUUUUCUGAGCCGCUAUUGUUUGUCCAGGCAGGUGUGAGGCUGUGUUUGGCAGCUGAGGGUGCUAGAGCCGGCCGUCAGGAGGCUGUGUGUGGAGCCAUCUCCAAAACCCACCUCCCGCGGGUUCAGUGUCCAGCUUCUUUCCAGAAGCUUGCACUUCAUGCUCAAGAGAUAAGUACAGAACUUUUAGAAGUACAGAUCUGCUAUACUUCCAACUAUUUUUACUCUCCUGUUGGCUGCAGAAGAUUCAAGGCAAGAAGAUUCAAGAAUUUUGAAGGCAAUAUGGAGCCUGGAAGUGGGUACUUGAGCACUGUGGCCUGCUCCCACGUGCUAUCAGCUGGAUGCAAGUCUGAGCUGGAAUCCAGGAUCGACUUGCUCACAGGUCUAAAUGUUCCAGCUUAGAUCUGUCUAUUCUUUAACUCAUUGUUUUCUUCUCGGGGACUUCUCCUGCUGGUUUUGUCGUCUGUGGCAUAUCCUUCUCUUGGAUAUUCCUUCUGUUAUUUGUAUGUUUCUUUGUUCCUCUCUUUUCUAUUCUUUUUAAUUUGUUCCUCUUAAUUCCUCCUCCUACAGGUAUUUCUUAACAUGCAAGGUAACUAUAGUUUUAGUCCUGUUUCUGGUGAUCAAAUGGUGACAAGAUGGAACCUUGUAGACGGCUUAAAUAGAUGUUCCUGUCGGAGAUGAAACACUUAACUCUUCAAUUACUGCUGGGUGUAGUGACUCCAGAGCUGCUGGCUGUUGCCAGGAUGGUGACAGGAAACUUGUGUGGCUCCUUUUCAGAUUGCAUUACUUUGUAUCUCAGCCUGAAACCUCUCAGGUGAAAUUAAGUGUGCUGAAAAUAGCUAGCUGUCUUCUUAAUUGCUUUGUUAAUCUGUGAGCCACCAUUAGUUGAGAUCUGUGCUUGUGCCAAAACCUAAGUGCUGUUUUGAACUAGUUGGAGUAAUCCAUGCCGUGUGCUGUCUAACAAAGUCUGGGUGAAUUUAUUUUUAAUCUGUAAAUGCAAAAAAAAAAAAAAAUAGUCUCUGUUUUUCUUUUGGUAUGGAGGCAAGAAAGAUGAAAAGUCAAGAUAUUCAGAGAAGAAAUUAUGUGCACUCCAGGGUGUAUUCUUUGAAUAUGAAUGUAUUGUUUAUGCAAGUUGUUCUUCAGAUGAUUUAACACCAGGAUGCUUAGGUUAUGUUUUAUCAUAAAGUUGUGAUUUUAAUUCUUAAUCUUUAUUUAAUCAGGGCAGGUAUACAAGUAAUUAGGAACUUGCAAAAGAUCCUAAUAAAAUAGAAGCACGAGUGCA